UGGUAAAUACCGAAUUAAAUUAUUGCUUUGCCGUUUGUGGUGCUCCUAAAAGGAGAAUUAGAGAAUACAUGCCUGCUGUGGCCAAAAAUGAUAACGACACAGAUGUUCGAAAAGCACGUAAAACACAGAUUCGGAGAGAUGAAGCAAUUGGGCGAGCAUUGCCUAUCGCAGUCGUGGUUGGAGUUGUAGCUUGUUUAAAGAUCCUCAAGGUGGUAAUUUGGAGAUAAGACAAAAGCUUGCUGGGCUUGCAGCAUCUACAAAGUCAGAAAUUUGUGCAUCUACUUUGACAAAUAGCAUCGCCUAAUAAUAGAAGGGGAGAGACAAACAUUCCAUUCCCUGAAGAUGAUUAUAUUGACCUAAAUUAUAUAAGAUUCCUUGGAGCUACAACUUGGGCAUUCCCACCAUAUGCCCAAUCCUCUGAGCUGUUUUGCCACCAUCUAUAUGCCUCUCAAGUCCUAACGUGAUUGUUCGUAAUCAUGAUUUAAACCCUUGAGUCCUCAACCAUCAUUCAGGUACGUUCAUUGAUUGUAAAUUGUAAUACCAAUAUAACAGGAUAACAAUACAACCAGAGAAAAUUGCUGAAAGGUCUCAGACGGGGGGGCAAGAUAGAUUAGUGAAAUAAUUUGAAGUUUGAUACGUUACAUGCCGUGGUUGAUUAUACAUGUAGCAAGCGAUCACACUU